GGCGAACGCUGGCGGCGUGCCUAAUACAUGCAAGUCGAGCGGACUGAAUGGGAGCUUGCUCUUGUUCGGUCAGCGGCGGACGGGUGAGUAACACGUGGGCAACCUGCCCGCAAGACCGGGAUAACUCCGGGAAACCGGAGCUAAUACCGGAUAACACCGAAGACCGCAUGGUCUUUGGUUGAAAGGCGGCGCAAGCUGCCACUUGCGGAUGGGCCCGCGGCGCAUUAGCUAGUUGGUGAGGUAACGGCUCACCAAGGCGACGAUGCGUAGCCGGCCUGAGAGGGUGACCGGCCACACUGGGACUGAGACACGGCCCAGACUCCUACGGGAGGCAGCAGUAGGGAAUCUUCCGCAAUGGGCGAAAGCCUGACGGAGCGACGCCGCGUGAGCGAAGAAGGCCUUCGGGUCGUAAAGCUCUGUUGUGAGGGACGAAGGAGCGCCGUUUGAAGAAGGCGGCGCGGUGACGGUACCUCACGAGGAAGCCCCGGCUAACUACGUG
rnacentral:rRNA from 1 species